rnacentral:rRNA from 1 species
GACGAGGGACCCUAGCGUUGUUCGGAAUCAUUGGGCGUAAAGCGGGUGUAGGUGGCUUUGUAAGUCAGGUGUGAAAGCCCUGGGCUCAACCCAGGAAGUGCAUUUGAUACUGCGAAGCUUGAGUGCCGGAGAGGUUACUGGAAUACCUGGUGUAGUGGUGAAAUACGUAGAUAUCAGGUGGAACACCGGAGGCGAAGGCGGGUAACUGGCCGGACACUGACACUCAGACCCGAAAGUGCGGGGAUCAAACAGG